GACGAACGCUGGCGGCGUGCCUAACACAUGCAAGUCGAACGGAAAGGCCCUGCUUUUGUGGGGUGCUCGAGUGUCGAAAGGGUGAGUAACACGUGAGUAACAUGCCCUUGACUUUGGGAUAACUUCAGGAAACUGGGGCUAAUACCGGAUAGGAGCUCCUGCUGCAUGGUGGGGGUUGGAAAGUUUCGGCGGUUGGGGAUGGACUCGCGGCUUAUCAGCUUGUUGGUGGGGUAGUGGCUUACCAAGGCAUUGACGGGUAGCCGGCCUGAGAGGGUGACCGGCCACAUUGGGACUGAGAUACGGCCCGUACUCCUACGGGAGGCAGCAGUGGGGAAUAGUGCACAAUGGGCGGAAUCCUGAUGCAGCAACGCCGCGUGCGGGAUGACGGCCGUCGGUUUGUAAACCGCUUUCGCCUGUGACGAAGCGUGAGUGACGGUAAUGGGUAAAAAAGCACCGGCUAACUACGUG
rnacentral:rRNA from 1 species